GGAAGGGCUGUAGCUCAGUGGUAUAGCAUCUCACUUGCUUUCAGAAGGUCCCUGGUUCAGUUCUUGGUAUUUCCA